rnacentral:rRNA from 2 species
AAACCAACAGGGAUUGCCUCAGUAACGGCGAGUGAAGCGGCAAAAGCUCAAAUUUGAAAUCUAGUACCUUCGGUGCUCGAGUUGUAAUUUGAAGAUGGCGACUUUGGGAGUGGCCUUUAUCUAUGUUCCUUGGAACAGGACGUCACAGAGGGUGAGAAUCCCGUCUGAUGAGGUGAUCCACUCCUUUGUAAAGUGCUAUCGAAGAGUCGAGUUGUUUGGGAAUGCAGCUCUAAGUGGGUGGUAAAUUCCAUCUAAAGCUAAAUAUUGGCGAGAGACCGAUAGCGAACAAGUACAGUGAUGGAAAGAUGAAAAGAACUUUGAAAAGAGAGUGAAAAAGUACGUGAAAUUGUUGAAAGGGAAGGGUAUUAGAUCAGACUUGGCGUUGUGUGAUUAUCUUCCCCUUGUGGGUUGUGCACUCGUGCUUCGCUGGGCCAGCAUCGAUUCGUGUGGCAGGAUAAUAGCAUUGGAACGUGGCUGCGCUUCUGUGUAGUGUUAUAGCCUUUGUUGAUACUGCCUAUGUGGAUCGAGGACUGCGUCUUUUGACUAGGAUGCUGGCGUAAUGAUCUAAUAUCGCCCGUCUUGAAACACGGACCAAGGAGUCUAACGUCUAUGCGAGUGUUUGGGUGUGAAACCCGUACGCGUAAUGAAAGUGAACGUAGGUGAGAAUCUUCGGAUGUAUCAUCGACCGAUCCUGAUGUCUUCGGAUGGAUUUGAGUAAGAGCAUAGCUGUUGGGACCC